CAGUCGAACGGACUUUUCAUGAAGCCUAGCGAUUGAAAAGUUAGUGGCGGACGGGUGAGUAACGCGUGGGUAACCUGCCUUGUACUGGGGGACAACAGUUGGAAACGACUGCUAAUACCGCAUAAGCGCACAGCUUCGCAUGAAGCAGUGUGAAAAACUCCGGUGGUACAAGAUGGACCCGCGUCUGAUUAGCUGGUUGGUGAGGUAACGGCCCACCGAGGCAACGAUCAGUAGCCGGCCUGAGAGGGUGAACGGCCACAUUGGGACUGAGACACGGCCCAAACUCCUACGGGAGGCAGCAGUGGGGAAUAUUGCACAAUGGGGGAAACCCUGAUGCAGCAACGCCGCGUGAGUGAAGAAGUAUUUCGGUAUGUAAAGCUCUAUCAGCAGGAAAGAAAAUGACGGUACCUGACUAAGAAGCCCCGGCUAACUACGUGCCAGUAGCCGCGGUAAUACGUAGGGGGCAAGCGUUAUCCGGAUUUACUGGGUGUAAAGGGAGCGUAGACGGUUUUGCAAGUCUGAAGUGAAAGCCCGGGGCUUAACCCCGGGACUGCUUUGGAAACUGUAGAACUAGAGUGCAGGAGAGGUAAGUGGAAUUCCUAGUGUAGCGGUGAAAUGCGUAGAUAUUAGGAGGAACACCAGUGGCGAAGGCGGCUUACUGGACUGUAACUGACGUUGAGGCUCGAAAGCGUGGGGAGC
rnacentral:rRNA from 1 species